rnacentral:rRNA from 1 species
UACAUGCAAGUCGAGCGCGGGAAGUCAGGGAAGCCUUCGGGUGGAACUGGUGGAACGAGCGGCGGAUGGGUGAGUAACACGUAGGUAACCUGCCCUAAAGCGGGGGAUACCAUCUGGAAACAGGUGCUAAUACCGCAUAACCCCAGCAGUCACAUGAGUGCUGGUUGAAAGACGGCUUCGGCUGUCACUUUAGGAUGGACCUGCGGCGUAUUAGCUAGUUGGUGGAGUAACGGUUCACCAAGGCAAUGAUACGUAGCCGACCUGAGAGGGUAAUCGGCCACAUUGGGACUGAGACACGGCCCAAACUCCUACGGGAGGCAGCAGUAGGGAAUCUUCCACAAUGGACGCAAGUCUGAUGGAGCAACGCCGCGUGGAUGAAGAAGGUCUUCGGAUCGUAAAAUCCUGUUGUUGAAGAAGAACGGUUGUGAGAGUAACUGCUCAUAACGUGACGGUAAUCAACCAGAAAGUCACGGCUAACUACGUGCCAGCAGCCGCGGUAAUACGUAGGUGGCAAGCGUUGUCCGGAUUUAUUGGGCGUAAAGGGAGCGCAGGCGGUCUUUUAAGUCUGAAUGUGAAAGCCCUCAGCUUAACUGAGGAAGCGCAUCGGAAACUGAAAGACUUGAGUGCAGAAGAGGAGAGUGGAACUCCAUGUGUAGCGGUGAAAUGCGUAGAUAUAUGGAAGAACACCAGUGGCGAAGGCGGCUCUCUGGUCUGUUACUGACGCUGAGGCUCGAAAGCAUGGGUAGCGAACAGGAUUAGAUACCCUGGUAGUCCAUGCCGUAAACGAUGAGUGCUAAGUGUUGGGAGGUUUCCGCCUCUCAGUGCUGCAGCUAACGCAUUAAGC